rnacentral:rRNA from 1 species
UACGUAGGUGGCAAGCGUUGUCCGGAUUUAUUGGGUUUAAAGGGUGCGUAGGCGGUCUAUUAAGUCAGUGCUGAAAUAUCCCGGCUUAACCGGGAGGGUGGCAUUGAUACUGAUGGACUUGAGCGCAGUCGAGGUAGGCGGAAUUGACGGUGUAGCGGUGAAAUGCUUAGAUAUCGUCAAGAACACCGAUAGUGAAGACAGCUUACUAGACUGUAACUGACGCUGAGGCACGAAAGUGUGGGGAUCAAACAGG